CAACUUGAUGAGUCAUCAAAAGGACUGGGCCACUGGAUUCUACCUGGCAAGAACUUCAGUGGCUGUGCCUGUGGCCUUUGACGCUCAUCCUGACUCCUGAUUGAUGAAUUAUUUGGUCGACUGAGGCAGAAUCACCUUUACUGGAGCAUAAUCUGUUGGAGGCAGCAUCUCCUGAAGUCUCCAUGAGUUGCUGGAAUGAAGAUGCAAGAGGAAAUUUGGAGAUGUUGCUUGAAAGUUUAAGUAUUGGUGUUACCAAACCAUUAGAAUAUUACAUAUGGACAACACCCAUCCAUUAGAAUAUUACGUAUGGACAACAUGGUGGAACAUUUCGAAUAAGGUUUGUCCCACAAAAUCCAAUAUAAAUGUUUGCUUUUGUCCUUUUUAAUGAUAUUGCAUUUGAAUUAUACUGAGUACAUUAUGACAUAUGAAGCUCUCAGACUGUAGGAUGGGAACAGCCAGACUUUAUGCAGUGCAG
ensembl:lincRNA